rnacentral:rRNA from 1 species
AUGUGCUCACGCUCUCUCUCAUUCUCUCUCGAUCUCGAGCUCGCCCAAAGCUGCCGUCGAGCACCGCUCGAUCCCGCGACCACCGAGCCCCUCCGGCCUCGCCGAUCUCUCCUAGAGCUCCAUCGCCGUUGUCCUCUUCGUUCGGUGCCAUUGGGUGAAGGCGGGGAGCAGCACAGCAGCGCCGACGACUCGAUCCCCUUCUUCGGUCGCUGGACGCCGCCGCCAUCGAUUCGGCCUCCCUCUGCGCUCCCGUUCACUCGAGGGCCUUCGUGUGCCGCGCCACCCCGAGAACGAUGCUGCCCCUGUGAUCGACUACGUCACCGACGACCCCUCCUUGCCAGAGCAACCAGAGAAAGAAAUAUGUCCAGGAGAAUGUACCAAGGUGGUUCCUCAACUAAGAGAGGACCUAGGUGUGCUAUGCGCGAGCAAGACGAUGAACCACCAAGGGAAGCCAGAGUGCGGGCUUGCGAAUGGCCAUCGGAAGAGUUUAUGGUCAAUGCAGGCAUCAAGGAUGAAUUUGACGCGUAUGUGCGUAAUGCCGAUCUUGAGGACUUCAUACAAGAUAAGUUUCCUCAGUACUACCAAUUGACUGAUUCAUUCAUGAGAAGGUUUAAAUUUUCAUCUUCGCGUAAUUCUCAGAAUGUCAUGUUUGAUAUUUAUGAUGAAUCUUAUACCAUGGACCUAGAAGAUUUUACUACUACUUGCAAACUCCCGCAGUGGGGCAAUGUUCAUGAACCCCACAAAUCUGAAUAUAAAGAUUUCCUCGCUAGUAUCAUUGUUGGAGAAUCUAAGGAUAUAACACAAGCUACCAUAGGGAGCAUUCAUUUUCCUGCUAUACAUUAUUUUGCUCUCUUCAUUGAUAGAUGCAUUAACGGUAAAGAUGAAGCAUGUCACAUGUGUGUCCCUGAUCUUUGUGUCCUCAAGAGUGUUGUAUUAGGUAAUAAAGAUUAUAACUUGGGGUCAAUAGUUGCACGUAGGUUGCAUAAUAAUGGUAUAAUUGGAGAUUUGUUUGGAGGAAUUUAUGCGACCCGUGUUGCUAAUUAUCUUGGUAUAUCCCCACAUGAGGGUGAUAUGGUGUUGUCUCCUGCUUAUUUAGAUUAUGACGCGAUGGCCAAACAUUGUUUUCUUUUGAGGAAUGAACAAUUCUUUCAGUAUAGACUAAUCUUUGACAGACGUCGCGCUGUCCAUGUUACUCUCCCUGCUCCUUCCCUUUUUGAUUACCAGGCAAAAUGA